UGAAGACCCAACGCUACGACUUCUCCUCCCCCGUGAAGAUGGCUGAAGCAUUUGCAGCGAUGAGAAAGGAGAAAAACAGCAAAGCAGUAGAAGCCGCCAGGAGAGAAUAUGAACAAUUUGUGCAGGAGCUGGACCGUGGCCACCAGAAUAUAAACUGCUGCCUGAGGGUGAAGCCUGAGGAGAUGAAGAGACGG